AGCGAACGCUGGCGACAUGCUUAACACAUGCAAGUCGCACGGGCAGCAAUGUCAGUGGCGGACGGGUGAGUAACGCGUAGGAACAUGUCCAGUGGUGGGGGAUAACGUUGGGAAACUGACGCUAAUACCGCAUGAGCCCUGAGGGGGAAAGCAGCGAUGCGCCGAUGGAGUGGCCUGCGUAGGAUUAGCUUGUUGGUGGGGUAGUGGCCUACCAAGGCUACGAUCCUUAGCUGGUCUGAGAGGACGAUCAGCCACAUUGGGACUGAGACACGGCCCAAACUCCUACGGGAGGCAGCAGUGGGGAAUAUUGGACAAUGGGGGCAACCCUGAUCCAGCAAUGCCGCGUGUGUGAAGAAGGUCUUCGGAUUGUAAAGCACUUUCACCUGUGACGAUGAUGACGGUAGCAGGAGAAGAAGCACCGGCUAACUCCGUGCCAGCAGCCGCGGUAAU
rnacentral:rRNA from 1 species